rnacentral:rRNA from 1 species
CAGUCGCCACGGUAAAACGAAGGGUGCAAGCGUUACUCGGAAUUACUGGGCGUAAAGCGUGCGUAGGUGGUGGUUUAAGUCCGUUGUGAAAGCCCUGGGCUCAACCUGGGAAUUGCAGUGGAUACUGGGUCACUAGAGUGUGGUAGAGGAUAGUGGAAUUUCCGGUGUAGCAGUGAAAUGCGUAGAGAUCGGAAGGAACAUCUGUGGCGAAGGCGACUAUCUGGGCCAACACUGACACUGAGGCACGAAAGCAUGGGGAGCAAACAGGAUUAGAUACCCCGGUAGUCCCUGUCUCUUAUAC